rnacentral:rRNA from 1 species
GUACGGAGGGAGCAAGCGUUACUCGGAAUUAUUGGGCGUAAAGGGCGCGUAGGCGAUUUGAAAAGUCUUGUGUGAAAGCCCCGAGCUUAACUCGGGAAGUGCACAAGAAACUGUUGAAUUUGAGUUCCGGAGAGGAAGGCAGAAUUCCCGGUGUAGCGGUGAAAUGCGUAGAUAUCGGGAGGAAUACCAGUGGCGAAGGCGGCCUUCUGGACGGAUACUGACGCUGAGGCGCGAAAGCCAGGGGAGCAAACGGG